UACGGAGGGUGCGAGCGUUGUCCGGAAUCACUGGGCGUAAAGGGCGCGUAGGCGGCGCGGAUAGUCGGCGGUGAAAGCCCGGAGCUCAACUCCGGGUCGGCCGUCGAUACUUCCGGGCUUGAGCACUGUAGAGGCAGAUGGAAUUCCGGGUGUAGCGGUGGAAUGCGUAGAGAUCCGGAAGAACACCGGUGGCGAAGGCGGUCUGCUGGGACGGUACUGACGCUGAGACGCGAAAGCGUGGGGAGCAAACAGG
rnacentral:rRNA from 1 species